GUGCAGGGGCAGCUAUACUGCAGUCGAGCGGACGGAUGGGAGCUUGGUCCCUGAUGUUUCGGGGACGGGGGAGUAACACGUGGGUAACCUGCCUGUUGACUGUGAUAACUCCGGGAAACCGGGGCUAAUACCGGAUGGUUGUUUGAACCGCAUGGUUCAAAAAUAUAAGGUGGCUUCGGCUACCACUUUUAUAUGUGCCCCCGGCGCAUUAUCUAUAUGGGGAGGUGAUGGCUCUCCCCGGCGACGAUGCGUAUCCGACCUGAGAGGGGGAUCUCCCACACUGUGACUGAGACACGGCCCCCACUCCUACGGGAGGCGCCACUAGGGAAUCUUCCCCAAUGGGCAAAAGUCUGACAGAGCAACGCCCCGCGAGAGAUGAAAGUUUUCUGAUCGCAAAGCUCUGUGGUUAUGGAAAAAAACGUGCCGUUCGAAUAUGGCGGGACCUUGACGGGACCUAUCCACAAAGCCACGGCUAACUACAUGCCACCACCCGCGGUAAUACACAUGUGGGAAGCGUUGUCCGCAAUUAUUGUGCGUAAAGGGCUCGCACGCGGGUUCUUAUAUCUGAUGUGAAAGCCCCCGGCUCUCCCGCGGAGGGGCAUUGUAAACUGUGGAACUUGAGUGCGCAAAAGAAGAGAGUGAUUCCACGUGUAUCGCUGAGAUGCGUAUAGAUGUGUAGGAACACCACUGUGGAAAGCGACUCUCUGUGCUGUGACUGACACUGAGGAGCGAAAGCGUGUGGAGAGAACACGAGUAUAUACCCUGUGAGACCACACCCCAAACGAUGAGAGCUAUAUGUGAUGGGGGUUUCCCCCCCCUAUAGCUGUAACUAUCACAUUAUACACUCUGCCCGUGGGAGAACAGUCGCAAGACUGUGACUCUCAGGGAGUUUGUCAGGGGGCCCGCACACGCGCUGGAGCAUGUGUGUUUAAUAUCUAAGACAACACGAAGAAGACUCUAUCACGUCUUGACAUCACUCUCACACUACCUCUAGAUAUGACGUCUUCUCUUCUCGGGCAGCAGAGACACGUGUUGCAUGUGUGUCUCACAUCUCGUCUGAGAUGAUGUGUUAAAUCCCGCGACAAGAGCGACACCUUGAUCUCAUAUUGUCACCAAUUUAAUUGUGGCACUCUCAAAGGGACCUGUCGCGUGACAAAACCGAGGAAAAGUGGCGGAUUAAGCACCUCCAGAUCUCAUGGCCUUAUGAAUCUGGCUACUACACCCGGCGU
rnacentral:rRNA from 1 species